rnacentral:rRNA from 1 species
AUUGAACGCUGGCGGCAGGCUUAACACAUGCAAGUCGAGCGGAGAUGAGGUGCUUGCACCUUAUCUUAGCGGCGGACGGGUGAGUAAUGCUUAGGAAUCUGCCUAUUAGUGGGGGACAACAUUCCGAAAGGAAUGCUAAUACCGCAUACGUCCUACGGGAGAAAGCAGGGGAUCUUCGGACCUCGCGCUAAUAGAUGAGCCUAAGUCGGAUUAGCUAGUUGGUGGGGUAAAGGCCUACCAAGGCGACGAUCUGUAGCGGGUCUGAGAGGAUGAUCCGCCACGCUGGGACUGAGGCAAGGCCGAGGGUCAUACGGGGGGCAGCAGUGGGGAAUAUUGGACAAUUGGGGAACCCUGAUCCAGCCACGCCGCGUGUGUGAAGAAGGCCUUAUGGUUGUAAAGCACUUUAAGCGAGGAGGAGGCUACUGAGACUAAUACUCUUGGAUAGUGGACGUUACUCGCAGAAUAAGCACCGGCUAACUCUGUGCCAGCCGCCGCGGUAACAC